ensembl:lncRNA
ACCGUUAGUCUUGGGGGCAGCUGGAGGUUGGCUGAUCCAGGCUGGUGCACUCAUGCACCUGCAGGUCGGCUGGGGGUCAGCUCAAGGCUGGGCUCGGCCGGCACACGGUAGCUGGGCAGCUCUGCUCCACGUGUAUCUCUUGUCCUUCUCCUGGGACCAACAGACCAGGCCGGGCAUGAACUUCUCGUGGCGAUGACAGGAGCACAAAUGAGUAGGUAGAAAUAGGCCAGGCCUCUGGAGGCCAAGGACUGGAACUGAUGCACAGUCUCUCCUACCCACCUCUUCUAUCGGCCAAACGUGUCACAUUGCGGGGAGGGAAAUAUACUCUACAGUUUUGGGAAAUCAAAGUCACGUGAGAAGGGCGGGGUUACAAGGGAAGAAUUAGGGCCAGGAAUGCAAUUGAUCUGUUCUAUUGAUUAUCAUCAUUGCUGUUUAUAUUUAAAUGCAGAAUUUGAAUCAAAAUCUUCCGGCACGGGGCUGGAGGAUCUCCACCUUGCGAACUUUUCCUGGUGAACCCGACACAGCUGGUCUGGCUGAGGGGCUCCUAGUCCACUUUCACAAUCAGCAGGUCAUAAGGAUCAUCUGUGGCUCUGAUGAAAAAGCCAGACUCCUAGGCUGCUUCCCCGGAGAUUUCAGGUAGGGGUCUGGAACCUGAAUUUAAAUAAAUGUUCCACAGGGCAUUCCAGUGGCUGGGAAAGUCGGGCAACACGCUUCUAAGGCAACAUACCCUUUUUGUAAGAUGUGGAGUCUGAAGCCCAGCACAGGGAAGGGGCCUGAGAAAGUGACACUCAGAAAGAAGGUUCUAACGUGGGGCUAGAAUUCAGGCGACCUCCUGGCCAAGUGUCUUUUCCAAUAUCCCUAAAUGACUAGAAGUUUCUACACCUCAACCACGUCACCGCAGAGUCCCAAUGGGUCCAGAGUGCAUUAGGAGAAAUAGUCAACCUUGGUUUCAAACAGCCCCUGAUGGACCGCCUCCUUUGAACAAAGCCUCCCAGCAGUCAGGGUUAGCAUGUGAUGGCGUUUGGAUACCCUCUGGGGUUGUGGCCGACUGGGGAAUAUGCUUCCCAGACCUCCCUUCCGGGGAGGCCUGGCUGCCCAGCUGUGGGAAGUGGGGUCUGCAGGCAGCUUCCAGCUCUCAGCUCCUUCAGCGUCUGCCUGAGCGGCAGAGAGACCCCUCGCCCAAGACGCCGAUUCUUAACCAAACAUCUUGCACCCAAAACUCCAGCUCAGAAUCUCCUCCAGGAGAACCCAACCUGCAACAGGACUCAAAAGCAACCAUGGUGGUGUGGAGAGGGGGCUUCAGCCGUGGCAAUUAACUUUGCUAAGGGGCGCACACGGGCGAAGGGAGGCGUGCAUCACAUGAAAUCAUGCUCCUAAGGAAGCCUUGGCCGACUCAAGCGCGGUAGACACCUAAACAUUUAAAUCACCUUUUCCUAUUGAUUAAGAGAUGCGUUCUGAGGCUCGGACCGGGAACUAAUUUGCUCCAGUUGGUGGCAGAUCUACAAUGGGAUCCUUGUCUUUUGAUGAGCACUUUAGGGCUCUUUCCAGCAUCAGACGUGGAAAAUCAUUUGAAGUGAUUGACUCGUUAUGGCUCUGCGGAGUGCGUGUGCCUGCUGAGCAUCUGAGCCAAGUAGGGGAGUGUGCUGGGAUGGAUUUGUGAUGUCUGCCACAGGCAUGGGAGGGGAGAGGGGUAGCACUUGGCAACAUAGCUACUACUUUCCUUGUACUUUACCAUUCUCUUUAUC